CACAACAAUGUAGAUGUAAUGAGUCUGUCUGUGUUUUGCCCUGUUUCUGUCUGCUGUCUGCCUUGCUGUUAAUUGUUUGCUCCGCCCACUCAUUUGUCACCAUAGACACUAAUUGCACUCUAUCUCCCCCCCGGGUGUAUCGUCUUAGUCUCUGAUUGUCUCUGCAUUGUGAUUGGUUCCUGUUUGUUAUAUCUACUCUGUUUGUUCACUUCCCUGGUGUUGGUCGUUGUUGGAUGUUUACGUCUAUGUUCCUGUUUCCUGUCUUGCUCAGUGUUCUGCCCUGUUUUGCCUGCUUGUUUGUUUGGCUGUUUCUUGUUUUGGUCUAUUAAAAAUCUAAACUGCAUUUGGAUCCUCACUCAUCUUUGCCUCACCGCGACAGUAGAUGAGACAGAAAUCGUAGUCAAAACACGGGCAGCAGGUCAGGACAGGCGGCAAACAAUCAACAGACAGGAAAAACAGAACAAAGUAAUAAACCGGGAUAAUCACAGGAAAGGGUUCGCUCAGACUGACAGCCGUGGCAAAUCGAGACUUCGCACUGAAGUCACGUUCAAGUUCAGUUAUAUAGGAAGUGGGGGAUUGGAAGCAGGUGGCAGUGUAAUCAGUCCCUGUAAGAGGAUUAUGGGAAAUGCAGUCCGGAAACUACUAAUACUCGGUGGAAGGUUCCCUCUGGUGGCGAUCGGAGGACGAGGCAGGCGCCUCAACCAUGACAAAUCAGUCAUCAUCAACUUUACAUGAUUUAAUCCAGAAGAGUGAAUUAAUCAGUGAAGGUCCACCUGCACAAUAUCAUCUCCUCACAACCAGAAGUGAUCUUCUUGAAAAUGGCUCAGUGAGAAAAUGGACAUUUGGACAGAGAGACAUCAAUAUGCAAAACAAAACUGUAGUGAUGGUAGGAGAAACUGGAACAGGCAAAACUACUCUGAUUAAUGCCAUGACUAAUUAUAUACAGACAUUCACAUUAUUCACAGUGAUUGUGGAGUGAAAGAAAUUGAUGCAGUGUGUCUGGUAUUAAAGGCAUCUGAGAAUCGAGACUCUGACAGACUGCAAUACAUCUUUGAAGCAGUUUUGUCUUUAUUUGUUAAAGACAAAACUGUUAUUUGUCAGAUGGACUGCCUCUAACAAAUGCUAUAUCACCAAAAAAAGAGAAGGGGAGCCUGAAGUAUAAAAGAGCUCUCAAGACAUCUUGGGAACAAACAGAGGACAGUUUCAAUGAUUUCUUUGCCUCACGGAAAGAACAGAGCAGAAAAAGCUUAAAGAACACUGAAAGUGUUAUGAAAGAGUCCAUAAGACUUGAAGCCUGUAUUUCUAAUCUACAAAACCAUACUGAGUUUAUAGAGUGCAAGAGUAAAGAACUGACUCAGAUUCAGAAAUAUUUUGAGGAAAACAGAGAAAAGAUCAAGAGAAAUGAAAACUUUACUUUAACAGUCACACAGUAUUACAAAGUUCCCAUUGUAAAUGCUUCAUGGAGGGACAGAAAGGCCACCCGUUGCUCUGUCUGUGAGGAGAACUGUCAUGAGUAUAACUGCUGGUUUGCUUCUAGUGCCUGGUGGUGCUAUGUUAUUAAAAAUAACCACUGCACUUCAUGUACACAUAAAUGUCACUACAGUAAACAUGUCAGAGAGAACAAGAAAUAUGUUACAAGAGCAAAGAGACCACAAUGAGUUAUGCUGCAAUUAAAAAGGAAUAUGAAGAUCGCAAAAAAUUAGGAUCAAACACAGAGUUUGAUUCAAAGCCCUUUAAAAAAUGUUGAAGUAAAACUUGCAGACAACAAGAACGAGAACGAAAAGCAGAUAAACCUAGAGGAUGAACUGAAGGAAGAAAUUAGUGAGAAAGAAAAGGAAAAAGCUAAGCUGGAGGAAGAAGCUUAUAACACCAUCAUAAAACUGUAUGAGAUUUCUUUAAAGCCAGACUCUGCUUUCAUUGUUCAGUCUCUUGACUUCUUAAUCCCUCGAGCUGAGGAAACUGGAAGAGAAGAUCUUGUUCAGAGAUUAAGAGAGAUGAGGAAGAUUCAGCCUGAAGCAGAGGAAAGAGUUAAUGCUGCAAUGGGGUAUGGAAGAGCAGGUCUCACUAAAGUGAAAAAUCUUUUUAGUGGUAAAUAAACGAAUUCAGGAGACUAAAUAUAGCCAUAGAACACAGUGUAUUACAGAUGUACAGAUAUUACAUUAAUGCAUAUCUUACAUGACAUAUUAUACAGAUAUUACAUUACAUAUUAUGCAGAUAUUACAUGACAUAUUAUACAGAUAUUACAUGACAUAUUAUAUAGAUAUUACAUUACAUAUUAGGAUAAAUUAACAUGUCUAUAUCAAGUGUGCAUGUAUUGUGUAACAGUGUCAUGAACUGUACAGGGUUCCAAGGGUUGUAGUUUUUCAUCCUGACCACCAGUGGGUUCUAGGUGCUCCCUGGGUGUGAUAAAAGGUGAGAAAGUGGUAGAGUAAGAGAGAGGACAGCAUGGUGUACCUUGUGUUCCUUCUCUGCCCUGAGAGACCAUCCUUGUUGAGAAACUUAAUUGUUUUGUUUGCUGCUCAAUUAAGGAUUUUUGUUUAUGGACUACACUUCUUGUACAUCAACUCAUGCUAUGGGAAUAAUGUGGAGGUGCUAUCAUUGUAGAAGAGACUGAUGUGCCAGGUCAUAUGGGACAUUUCCUACAUUAUGUCUGGACAUUACCACAAGUACAAGUAUUCUUUCCAUUGAUAAA